rnacentral:misc_RNA from 1 species
UUUUUUGGAUCUUUUUUACGCCAUCCACUUGAUCUUCUAUGCAAAAGUUUUUCUAACCGAGUUACUCUUAGAAUAUAUGCCCAAAAACGUGCAAUGAGCAUGUCCACUUUCUCCAUGACAAAAUAAUCAGUUGUCCGAUCAAUUCCGAUCCCACGUCGAAAAAUAACGUACUUAUCAACAAAGUCAGGAAGAUCUUCACGAGGAUGCUCAGCAAAAUACUUCUUAAAAAGCUCCUUGUCGAGCUUGGAUUCAUCUACUUUGAUGGGAAGGUUUAAGAGAUAC